UCUUAAUAUUGCUAAUCUGUUGCUUUGAAAAGCAGUUUGUUUUUUAUCAUGGCAUAAUAAUUUUUUUGGUGUAAUAUUGUUUUGGGUGCACACAUUACAUAAUUUUACUGUCUAUAGGUACUAAAAAUAUUACAAAGUUUUAAGAACGGCUUUUCACUAGUGUGCACAUUCUGAUACAAAGAGAAUAUGUAGUAUAUUUGCAGAAAGAACUAGCAGAACCGUCUUGAGUAUGGGCAGAAGAAAUCCAAAUGGACAGGCAACCUUAAGUAUGGAUAAUUUGCCAUGCUGUAGGACAGGCGAGCUCUUUUCUCCUCUUAACUUCAUGUCUGCAGUACACAUUUCUUGCACCUAUGGUGGCAUAGAAAAGUUUGGGCACCUUUGUUUAAAAUGUUACUGUGAAUAGUUAAGUGAACGUAAAGAUGAACUGAUCACUAAAAGUCAAAGUUGAUACAUUUCCUUAACAUUUUAAGCAAGAUUAAAUUUUUAUUUCUAUCAUUCACAGGUACAAAAUACUAAAAAAAAUGAAAAGGGCCUGAAGCAAACAUUUAACUAAGAAAUAAGAUUUUUAUGUAAUUACCAAAGAUUAACAUUUAAUUUUAUGCAACAUGUAUACCGCACAAUAAUUAACAUUUGUCUUUAUUUUUAAAUAGAAAUCUCACGUAAUUGUGUAACUGCUACAAGUCUUUAAUAUGCUGGCAAUCAAUUUCCAUGUCUGAGGCAUUUGACCCAUUGUGAAUGUAAUUUGGAUACGAGUAUGAAUGGGUCCUGUGAUGAUGGACUAACAUUAUCAUGUUCAGUUGUGACCCUGGACUGAUUUAAGUAAACCUGAGAAUGUUUAUAUUCUUUAAAAAAAAAAAAAAAAAGAUCGUGUGUGUGUGGAGGGGCUUAGUAUUGGGAGUCCAUGAAAUAGCCAGUUGAAAAACAUUUGGGAAUGUUAUCGCAAAGUAAUUAAUACUUCUGCUAAAGAAAACAGCUUCGGAGGAAUCCUGUAUAGCCUGGACUUUAUUACGUAGAAUGCAGAUGAAGGUAUCCAUUUAACGAUGUUGCUAUAAGUCAACUUCUGAUUCAUAUUUGUUUAUUAAAAGAACAUUUUUGCAUGAAAAUAUUGAAAAUUGCUUUUUUUUAAACUAUAUUUAAUGCAUGGUGCCAAUGAUUGGCAAAAACGUUUCAAACUUAGCAGACAUUAUGCAGCAUGCUCUAAAAGGCAUGCAAGUUUUGUAACAUUUUUUCCACUAUGCUUUUGUUUAUAAUU